rnacentral:rRNA from 1 species
GAUGAACGCUAGCGGCAGGCCUAACACAUGCAAGUCGAGGGAGAGGUUACCUUCGGGUAACCAAAACCGGCGCACGGGUGCGUAACGCGUAUACAAUCUGCCUUUCACAUAGGGAUAGCCCGAAGAAAUUUGGAUUAAUACCUAAUGGUAUAUAAGAGCGGCAUCGUUUUUAUAUUAAAGCUACGGUGGUGAAAGAUGAGUAUGCGUUCUAUUAGCUAGUUGGAGAGGUAACGGCUCCCCAAGGCGACGAUAGAUAGGGGUUCUGAGAGGGAUGUCCCCCACACUGGUACUGAGAUACGGACCAGACUCCUACGGGAGGCAGCAGUGAGGAAUAUUGGACAAUGGUCGGAAGACUGAUCCAGCCAUGCCGCGUGCAGGAUGAAGGUACUAUGGAAUGUAAACUGCUUUUGUAAGGGAAGAAUAAGGAGUACGUGUACUUUGAUGACGGUACCUUACGAAUAAGCAUCGGCUAACUCCGUG